rnacentral:rRNA from 1 species
UACGGAGGGUGCAAACGUUGCUCGGAAUCAUUGGGCGUAAAGCGCACGUAGGCGGCUCGUUAAGUCGGAUGUGAAAGCCCCGGGCUCAACUCGGGAAGUGCAUUCGAAACUGGCGAGCUUGAAUAUGGAAGAGGGUCGCGGAAUCCCCGGUGUAGAGGUGAAAUUCGUAGAUAUCGGGAGGAACACCAGUGGCGAAGGCGGCGACCUGGGCCAAUAUUGACGCUGAGGUGCGAAAGCGUGGGGAGCAAACAGG